rnacentral:rRNA from 1 species
UGUGAAGUCAAUGAUCCCAUGCUGCCAAGAAAAGCCUCUAGCGAGCUUCGAGCGGCCCGUACCCCAAACCGACACAGGUGGUCAGGUAGAGAAUACCGAGGCGAUCGGGCGAACUGUGGUUAAGGAACUCGGCAAAUUACCCCCGUAACUUCGGGAGAAGGGGGGCCACAGACUGUCAUACCCCACGCGGGUGGCAGCAGUAGGUGGCCGCAGAGACCAGGGGGAAGCGACUGUUUACUAAAAACACAGGUCCGUGCGAAGUCGUAAGACGAUGUAUACGGACUGACGCCUGCCCGGUGCUGGAACGUUAAGGGGACCGGUUAGUCCGCAAGGGCGAAGCUGAGAACUUAAGCGCCAGUAAACGGCGGUGGUAACUAUAACCAUCCUAAGGUAGCGAAAUUCCUUGUCGGGUAAGUUCCGACCUGCACGAAUGGCGUAACGACUUCCCUACUGUCUCAACCACAGGCCCGGCGAAAUUGCACUACGAGUAAAGAUGCUCGUUACGCGCGGAAGGACGGAAAGACCCCGGGACCUUCACUAUAGCUUGACAUUGGUAUCCGAAUUUAAUUGUGUAGGAUAGGUGGGAGGCUUUGAUCCGCGGACGCCAGUCCGUCGGGGAGCCAACGUUGAAAUACCACUCUGUUGACUUUGGGUAUCUAACUUCGGACCGUGAUCCGGUUCAGGGACAGUGUCUGGUGGGUAGUUUAACUGGGGCGGUUGCCUCCUAAAAUGUAACGGAGGCGCCCAAAGGUUCCCUCAGCCUGGUUGGCAAUCAGGUGUUGAGUGCAAGUGCACAAGGGAGCUUGACUGUGAGACUGACAGGUCGAGCAGGGACGAAAGUCGGGACUAGUGAUCCGGCACCUGCGAGUGGAAGCGGUGUCGCUCAACGGAUAAAAGGUACCCCGGGGAUAACAGGCUGAUCUUCCCCAAGAGUCCAUAUCGACGGGAUGGUUUGGCACCUCGAUGUCGGCUCGUCGCAUCCUGGGGCUGGAGUAGGUCCCAAGGGUUGGGCUGUUCGCCCAUUAAAGCGGCACGCGAGCUGGGUUUAGAACGUCGUGAGACAGUUCGGUCCCUAUCCUCCGCGCGCGUAGGAGACUUGAGAAGAGCUGUCCCUAGUACGAGAGGACCGGGACGGACGAACCUCUGGUGUGCCAGUUGUCAUGCCAAUGGCACGGCUGGUUAGCUACGUUCGGAAGGGAUAACCGCUGAAAGCAUCUAAGCGGGAAGCUCGCUUCAAGAUGAGGUCUCCCACCCCUUAGAGGGUUAAGGCCCCCAGCUAGACCACUGGGUUGAUAGGCCAGAAGUGUAAGCCUGGUAACAGGUUCAGCCGACUGGUACUAAUAGGCCGAGGACUUCUAAA